rnacentral:rRNA from 1 species
UACGUAGGUGGCAAGCGUUGUCCGGAUUUACUGGGCGUAAAGCGCGCGCAGGCGGACUGAUCAGUCUGGGGUGAAAUCUCACGGCUCAACUGUGAGCGGUCCCUGGAUACUGUCAGUCUUGAGAGACCUAGAGGAGAGCGGAAUUCCCGGUGUAGUGGUGGAAUGCGUAGAUAUCGGGAAGAACACCAGUGGCGAAGGCGGCUCACUGGUCCAUUACUGACGCUGAGGUGCGAAAGCGUGGGGAGCAAACAGG